GGACCAGGUGAGGAAGUAGGGGGCUGGGAAUCCGGGACUGUGGGGGCAAGUUGACGGCUCCCAGGGUCGUCGGGGCUGAGCCGAGAGGGUGGUUAGAAUUUCUAUAUUUUGGGGUCCCUCCCUCCGUAUGGGGUAAGACUCAGUGCAGGGAGAGCCCAGCCUAUGAAACCGCCUGGGAGGUCUGCAGGAUCAAGGCUUUCCAGUCGGCCGGAGCCAGCGGGCGCCCCCGGAGGUUUUGUAUGGUGCCUUAGUAGUCGGCCCCUUUGGAACCAGAUGAAAUGGUCUUUUUGAGUUUAUGCUUUAUUAUUAUUAUUGUUUAUUUAUUUAUUUUUCUGAGACGGAAUUUUGCUCUGAAUUCCAGGCUGGAGUGCAAUGGCGCGAUCUCAGCUCACUGCAGCCUCCGCCUCCCGGGUUCAAGCGAUUCUUCUGCCUCAGCCUCCCGAAGACUGCUGCAGUGCCUGUCAUAUGGGGUCUCAUUAUGUCAGCCAGGCUGG
rnacentral:lncRNA from 10 species